CGGGGUUUGUAUGAAAACACCGGGCGGCGGGCGGCGAGGGAUCCGCCGUGAUCCAGGUGCCAAGCCGGGUGCUGCGGCUCUGCGCGGUCCCCGCCAGCGCCCCAUCCUGAGCCGAUUAUCUGCAAUUAUGAAAUGAAGUAACUCAAGAUGAGCAAGUUAAAAGUGAUACCAGAGAAAAGCCUUACCAAUAAUUCUAGGAUCGUGGGACUCCUGGCUCAGCUGGAGAAGAUCAAUGCUGAACCUUCAGAAUCAGACACUGCCCGAUAUGUUACAUCAAAAAUUCUUCAUCUGGCUCAGAGUCAAGAGAAAACAAGGAGAGAAAUGACAGCCAAAGGUUCUACAGGAAUGGAAAUUCUGCUGUCAACAUUAGAGAACACAAAAGAUCUUCAAACUACACUUAAUAUCUUAAGCAUUCUUGUUGAGCUGGUGUCAGCUGGUGGAGGUCGAAGAGUGAGUUUCUUGGUCACCAAAGGUGGUUCACAAAUAUUGUUGCAGUUACUUAUGAAUGCCAGCAAAGAAUCUCCCCCACAUGAGGACUUAAUGGUACAGAUUCAUUCUAUUCUUGCAAAGAUUGGACCAAAAGAUAAAAAAUUUGGAGUAAAGGCUAGAAUUAAUGGGGCUCUGAAUAUAACCCUGAAUUUGGUCAAGCAGAAUUUGCAGAAUCAUCGCUUGGUUCUACCUUGCCUUCAGCUUUUACGAGUAUAUUCUGCCAACUCUGUGAAUUCAGUAUCCUUAGGGAAAAAUGGAGUUGUGGAACUGAUGUUUAAAAUCAUUGGACCAUUUAGUAAGAAGAAUUCCAGUCUUAUAAAGAAUGUCUAGCAGUCAGGACUCUGGAUCCUCUUGUCAAUACCUCCAGUCUGAUAAUGAGGAAGUGUUUCCCAAAAAAUCGACUGCCACUCCCAACAAUUAAAAGU
rnacentral:sRNA from 1 species